CGGGAUACCCGAGGGAAACUUCGGUUAAUACGGUAUAAGACCACACUACCGCAUGGUAGAGGGGUAAAAGGGGCAACCUGGUAUGAGAUGGACUCGCGUCGCAUUAGCUAGUUGGUGAGGUAACGGCCACCAAGGCGACGAUGCGUAGCCGACCUGAGAGGGCGAUCGGCCACAUUGGGACUGAGAUACGGCCCAGACUCCUACGGGAGGCAGCAGUGGGGAAUAUUGGGCAAUGGAGGAAACUCUGACCCAGCAAUGCCGCGUGAAUGAAGAAGGUCUUCGGAUUGUAAAGUUCUUUAGUCAGGGAAGAAGUCAAUGACGGUACCUGAAGAAUAAGCUCCGGCUAACUACGUGCCAGCAGCCGCGGUAAUACGUAGGGAGCAAGCGUUGUUCGGAAUGACUGGGCGUAAAGGGUGCGUAGGCGGUUGUACAAGUUAGAAGUGAAAUACCCAGGGCUUAACCCGGGUGCUGCUUCUAAAACUGUAUGACUUGAGUGCAGUAGAGGUUAGUGGAAUUCCUAGUGUAGCGGUGGAAUGCGUAGAUAUUAGGAGGAACACCAGAGGCGAAGGCGGCUAACUGGACUGCAACUGACGCUGAGGCACGAAAGUGUGGGGAGCAAACAGGAUUAGAUACCCUGGUAGUCCACACUGUAAACGAUGGAUAAUAGAUGUAGGAGGUAUCGACUCCUUCUGCGUCGCAG
rnacentral:rRNA from 1 species